rnacentral:rRNA from 1 species
AUACGGAGGGGGCGAGCGUUAUUCGGAAUCAUUGGGCGUAAAGGGCGCGUAGGCGGCCUGACAAGUCAGGGGUGAAAUCCCUCGGCUCAACCGAGGAACUGCCUCUGAAACUGUCAGGCUUGAGGUCGGGAGAGGGUAGUGGAAUUCCCAGUGUAGCGGUGAAAUGCGUAGAUAUUGGGAGGAACACCAGUGGCGAAGGCGGCUACCUGGACCGGUUCUGACGCUGAGGCGCGAAAGUGUGGGGAGCAAACAGGAUUAGAAACCCUAGUAGUCC